rnacentral:lncRNA from 1 species
UGCCUCCAUCAGGAACUGCAAUUAUGCACACAUUCAGCCACCUAAAGUUGUCCCACAGCUCAGAUGCAAUAUUCUUUUUUUUAAAUUCUUUUCUCUUUGUGUGUUCCAUUUUGGGUAUUCUCUAUUGCUAUGGCUUCAAGUUCACUAAUCUUUUCUUCUGUGUUUUCUAAUCAGGUAUUAAUAUCAUUCAGGUAUUAAUAUCAUCUUGGAUUCUGUUUUCAUCUGAUAUGGAGAAGCAUUGGAUCUGAGUGGGACACAUCCUCUCUAAUGCACCCUGCCUUUUCCGCUGCUCCAAAUUUCACACAAGCGUCAGAAAAAUUCAAGACAAUCUAGAAAAUCUAAGUACAAAUACAAAAAGGAAAGUGUUUUCUUUCAAAGCUGUGAAUUAUAUAAAGUGAGUAAGCUCAAUAAACAUUUGCAGAAGUGGGAACAUGUGUUAGUUCAUUCUUGCAUUGCUAUAAAUUUCUUUUAGUUCAUGGGUUCUGCAGUCUGUACAAGAAGCAUGAUGUCAGUAUCUGCUUCUGGGGAGGCCUCAGGAAGCUUACAAUCAUAGUGGAAGGUAAAGGGGGAACAGAUGGUGUCACAUGGCAAGAGUAGGAGCAAGAGAGGGAGGAGGAGGAUCCAGGCUCCUUUUAUUUAUUUAUUGUAUAC